GGCGCGUGCGUGGCUUUCGGGUUGACCUCGAGCUCUCGAGCUAUGGCCGCCGGUGUCUCGCCCCGUCGCGGACUCGCGGUUGCGACCGAUCAAUACAUAAAUAAUCCUAGGCCUUGCCGCAGAGGAUGGAAGAACACGACGGCAAAAGGCUUCCUCGUCACGAUCCAAUUUGAACAGCGAACGUCAAAUUUUGAACAGGGAACGGCAAAUUCAUCCAAUCCGAACUGGGAAUCGAUGCAAGGUGGUCAAGUGGAUGGCUGCGUUCAGAUGAACCUAACAUUGUAUUGACCAAGCUGAAACUCUGAACAAAAUAUAAACAGGAAAUCAAACACAUGUGCACGCAUUCGUAAUA